rnacentral:rRNA from 1 species
UACGGAGGGUGCGAGCGUUGUCCGGAAUCACUGGGCGUAAAGGGCGCGUAGGCGGCCUGAUAAGUAGGGGGUGAAAUCCUGCGGCUUAACCGCAGGGCUGCCUUCUAAACUGUCAGGCUCGAGCACAGUAGAGGCAGGUGGAAUUCCCGGUGUAGCGGUGGAAUGCGUAGAGAUCGGGAAGAACACCGGUGGCGAAGGCGGCCUGCUGGGCAGUAGCUGACACUGAGGCGCGACAGCGUGGGGAGCGAACAGG